rnacentral:rRNA from 1 species
AGAGUUUGAUCCUGGCUCAGAAUCAACGCUGGCGGCGUGCCUAACACAUGCAAGUCGAACGAGAAAGUGGAGCAAUCCAUGAGUAAAGUGGCGCACGGGUGAGUAACACGUGACUAACCUACCUGGAAGUGGGGGAUAACCUCGGGAAACCGGGGCUAAUACCGCAUAAUCCCGAAAGGGCAAAAGGAGCAAUUCGCUUUUAGAGGGGGUCGCGGCUGAUUAGUUAGUUGGUAGGGUAACGGCCUACCAAGACGAUGAUCAGUAUCCGGCCUGAGAGGGCGCACGGACACACUGGAACUGAAACACGGUCCAGACUCCUACGGGAGGCAGCAGUGGGGAAUUUUGCGCAAUGGGGGAAACCCUGACGCAGCAACGCCGCGGUGGAGGAUGAAGUCCCUUGGGGACGUAAACUCCUUUCGAUCGGGACGAUUAUGACG